UACGUAGGGGGCAAGCGUUGUCCGGAUUUACUGGGCGUAAAGGGCGCGUAGGCGGUAGCACAAGUCAGUUGUGAAAUCUCCGGGCUUAACUCGGAAAGGUCAACUGAUACUGUGCGACUAGAGUGCAGAAGGGGCAACUGGAAUUCUCGGUGUAGCGGUGAAAUGCGUAGAUAUCGAGAGGAACACCUGCGGCGAAGGCGGGUUGCUGGGCUGACACUGACGCUGAGGCGCGAAAGCCAGGGGAGCGAACGGG
rnacentral:rRNA from 1 species